rnacentral:rRNA from 1 species
GAUGAACGCUGGCGGCGUGCCUAAUACAUGCAAGUCGAGCGAACAGACGAGGAGCUUGCUCCUCUGACGUUAGCGGCGGACGGGUGAGUAACACGUGGAUAACCUACCUAUAAGACUGGGAUAACUUCGGGAAACCGGAGCUAAUACCGGAUAAUAUAUUGAACCGCAUGGUCCAAUAGUGAAAGCCGGUUUGUCGUUCACUUAUAGAUGGAUCCGCGCCGCAUUAGCUAGUUGGUAAGGUAACGGCUUACCAAGGCAACGAUGCGUAGCCGACCUGAGAGGGUGAUCGGCCACACUGGAACUGAGACACGGUCCAGACUCCUACGGGAGGCAGCAGUAGGGAAUCUUCCGCAAUGGGCGAAAGCCUGACGGAGCAACGCCGCGUGAGUGAUGAAGGUCUUCGGAUCGUAAAACUCUGUUAUUAGGGAAGAACAAAUGUGUAAGUAACUAUGCACGUCUUGACGGUACCUAAUCAGAAAGCCACGGCUAACUACGUG